AAGGCCUCAGAAAGGUCCUCCUUUGCGUUCUAUUUUGAAUCCUCAUCGAAACACUUUUUGUUUCGUCUCAAUCGGAGUUUCCGUUGAGAUUUUACGACGAAAUCAAGUAGGACUCUUCUUGGCUUGCUUCUACUCGCUACGUAGCGAUCUGUCAGACCUCCACUCGCUACAUAGCGACCUGUCAGGCCUCAUAAAGCUCCUCCUUUGUGUUCUCUUUUGAAUCCGGUCGAAAGACUUUUCGUUUCGUCUCAAUCGGAGUUUCCGUUGAGAUUCUACGACGAAAACAAGUUAGACUCGUCUAAACUCCUUGGCUUGCUCGCCCUUACCUCCAUCUUUGCGUUCUCCUUCGAAUCUCGACCGAAACAUUUUUUGUGUCGUCUCGAUGGGAGUUACCAUUGAAACUUUACGAUAAAAAAAAAACCCACAACGAUUUGUUUUCUCGCAUAGAUUCAAAUUAAUCGUAUAAAACGGCAACAGUUAACUUAACACCUUAGCCGCCUCAACUAUACGAUUACGUUGAACCUUUUUAUAAAAAUUGAAGUCGUAUCUAAAGGAGAAGAUAACAGUCAAGUUCGGAAGAUAAAUGUCAAGUUUCAAAGGAUAAACACCAAUAUCGAAAAUGGCGAAGAUACACGAGAGGAGGAAGGGGGAAUGAGCCAGCAAAACUGAGAGAGAUAAAUCUGCAUCUUCGAAAGAACUAAGGUAUUUCCAACUUGAAAUUUUUGAAAUCAGACUUGGAAUUUUCGUAGGAAAUUACUAAGAAAUAAAAACGCCUUUGUGACUGCCAUAGAACUUUAGGGAACGUAAAACCUAGGUGGAUAGUCUAGCGAACUAAGUCUUAGGCGAUUUUUUCUGUCUCGAUAUAUCGUUCCAUAACUGUUCAGCCAGAUCUUGCAA
rnacentral:lncRNA from 1 species